rnacentral:rRNA from 1 species
ACGAACGCUGGCGGCGUGCUUAACACAUGCAAGUCGAACGGAAAGGCCCUGCUUUUGUGGGGUGCUCGAGUGGCGAACGGGUGAGUAACACGUGAGUAACCUGCCCUUGACUUUGGGAUAACUUCAGGAAACUGGGGCUAAUACCAGAUAGGAGCUCCUGCUGCAUGGUGGGGGUUGGAAAGUUUCGGCGGUUGGGGAUGGACUCGCGGCUUAUCAGCUUGUUGGUGGGGUAGUGGCUUACCAAGGCUUUGACGGGUAGCCGGCCUGAGAGGGUGACCGGCCACAUUGGGACUGAGAUACGGCCCAGACUCCUACGGGAGGCAGCAGUGGGGAAUAUUGCACAAUGGGCGGAAGCCUGAUGCAGCAACGCCGCGUGCGGGAUGACGGCCUUCGGGUUGUAAACCGCUUUCGCCUGUGACGAAGCGUGAGUGACGGUAAUGGGUAAAGAAGCACCGGCUAACUACGUG